rnacentral:rRNA from 1 species
ACGCUAGCUACAGGCUUAACACAUGCAAGUCGAGGGGCAGCAUUUCAGUUUGCUUGCAAACUGGAGAUGGCGACCGGCGCACGGGUGAGUAACACGUAUCCAACCUGCCGAUAACUCGGGGAUAGCCUUUCGAAAGAAAGAUUAAUACCCGAUAGUAUAAUUAGACCGCAUGGUCUUAUUAUUAAAGAAUUUCGGUUAUCGAUGGGGAUGCGUUCCAUUAGGCAGUUGGUGAGGUAACGGCUCACCAAACCUUCGAUGGAUAGGGGUUCUGAGAGGAAGGUCCCCCACGUUGGAACUGAGACACGGUCCAAACUCCUACGGGAGGCAGCAGUGAGGAAUAUUGGUCAAUGGGCGCAGGCCUGAACCAGCCAAGUAGCGUGAAGGAUGACUGCCCUAUGGGUUGUAAACUUCUUUUAUAUGGGAAUAAAGUUUUCCACGUGUGGAAUUUUGUAUGUACCAUAUGAAUAAGGAUCGGCUAACUCCGUGCCAGCAGCCGCGGUAAUACGGAGGGUCCGGGCGUUAUCCGGAUUUAUUGGGUUUAAAGGGAGCGUAGGCCGUGAGGGUAAGCGUGUUGUGAAAUGUAGGCGCCCAACGUCUGCACUGCAGCGCGAACUGCCCCACUUGAGUGCGCGCAACGCCGGCGGAACUCGUCGUGUAGCGGUGAAAUGCUUAGAUAUGACGAAGAACCCCGAUUGCGAAGGCAGCUGGCGGGAGCGUAACUGACGCUGAAGCUCGAAAGCGCGGGUAUCGAACAGGAUUAGAUACCCUGGUAGUCCGCGCGGUAAACGAUGGAUGCCCGCUGUGGCGCGCCUGGCGUGCCGCGGCUAAGCGAAAGCAUUAAGCAUCCCACCUGGGGAGUACGCCGGCAACGGUGAAACUCAAAGGAAUUGACGGGGGCCCGCACAAGCGGAGGAACAUGUGGUUUAAUUCGAUGAUACGCGAGGAACCUUACCCGGGCUUGAACUGCAGGAGAACGAUUCAGAGAUGAUGAGGUCCUUCGGGACUCCUGUGGAGGUGCUGCAUGGUUGUCGUCAGCUCGUGCCGUGAGGUGUCGGCUUAAGUGCCAUAACGGGCGCAACCCCUCUCCGUAGUUGCCAUCGGGUAAUGCCGGGCACUCUGCGGACACUGCCACCGUAAGGUGUGAGGAAGGUGGGGAUGACGUCAAAUCAGCACGGCCCUUACGUCCGGGGCCACACACGUGUUACAAUGGCCGUCACAGAGGGGAGCCGGGCGACCGGCUCAUGAUCCUUAAAAACGGUCUCAGUUCGGACUGGGGUCUGCAACCCGACCCCACGAAGCUGGAUUCGCUAGUAAUCGCGCAUCAGCCAUGGCGCGGUGAAUACGUUCCCGGGCCUUGUACACACCGCCCGUCAAGCCAUGAAAGCCGGGGGCGCCUGAAGUCCGUGACCGCAAGGAUCGGCCUAGGGCGAAACUGGUGAUUGGGGCUAA